UGUUUGGGCACUGGGGACUCUACGGUAGGCAGCAGUGGGGAAUUUUGGACAAUGGCGAAAGCCUGAUCCAGCAAUGCCGCGUGCAGGAUAAAGGCCCUCGGGUUGUAAACUGCUUUUGUACGGAACGAAAAGCCUGGGGCUAAUAUCCCCGGGUCAUGACGGUACCGUAAGAAUAAGCAGC
rnacentral:rRNA from 1 species